GAUGAAGAACGUAGCGAAAUGCGAUAAGUAGUGUGAAUUGCAGAAUUCAGUGAAUCAUCGAAUCUUUGAACGCACAUUGCGCCCCUUGGUAUUCCAUGGGGCAUGCCUGUUCGAGCGUCAUUUGUACCUUCAAGCUCUGCUUGGUGUUGGGUGUUUGUCUCGCCUCUGCGUGUAGACUCGCCUCAAAACAAUUGGCAGCCGGCGUAUUGAUUUCGGAGCGCAGUACAUCUCGCGCUUUGCACUCAUAACGACGACGUCCAAAAGUACAUUUUUACACUCUUGACCUCGGAUCAGGUAGGGAUACCCGCUGAACUUAAGCAUAUCAAUAAGCGGAGGA
rnacentral:misc_RNA from 1 species